rnacentral:pre_miRNA from 1 species
AAAAAGGCAAACCCUAGAUUUCCGUGCCAACGUUUGACUGUCCGUCUUAUAUGAAAUUUUUUUAUAAUUAGUAUUUUCAUUGUUGUUAGAUAAUAAAAAAUGAUUAAUACUUUAUGCGUGACUUAUUUUUUUAAUUUUUUUCAUAUUUUUUUAAAUAAGACGGACGGUCAAAUGUUGGACAUGGAAACU